rnacentral:rRNA from 1 species
AUUGAACGCUGGCGGCAUGCCUUACACAUGCAAGUCGAACGGCAGCACGGGAGCAAUCCUGGUGGCGAGUGGCGAACGGGUGAGUAAAGUAUCGGAACGUGCCCAGUCGUGGGGGAUAACGUAGCGAAAGUUACGCUAAUACCGCAUACGAUCUAUGGAUGAAAGCGGGGGAUCGCAAGACCUCGCGCGAUUGGAGCGGCCGAUAUCAGAUUAGGUAGUUGGUGGGGGAAAGGCCCACCAAGCCGACGAUCUGUAGCUGGUCUGAGAGGACGACCAGCCACACUGGGACUGAGACCCGGCCCAGACUCCUGCGGGAGGCAGCAGUGGGGAAUUUUGGACAAUGGGCGAAAGCCUGAUCCAGCCAUGCCGCGUGCAGGAUGAAGGCCUUCGGGUUGUAAACUGCUUUUGUACGGAACGAAAAGGUUUGGCCUAAUAAGCUGAGCUCAUGACGGUACCGUAAGAAUAAGCACCGGCUAACUACGUGCCAGCCGCCGCGGUAA